UCGACGUGUUUCACCUUCAAGUCCAAGCUGCAGGAGCGACGUGAAACCUACGGCAAAAGCGUUCUGCUCUAGCACUUCGGCUUACUUUUAUUUUUUUUACUUGGGCUUAGUUGGAGCGUGUGGAUUAAAUUGUUUCAUGUGCAAUUAGGGACAUCACCUAGAAGGUAUUUUGUUUCCAAAAAAAUCGGAAGGUUUUUCACUCAGGCUUCAAAAACAUCGCAUGCCAUACAGGGAUACGACUCGCCAGAUCUUUUUUGAGGCUCUGAUAGAUAUGCAACGGAAAAAAGGAUGGACAUCAGAAUACCGAUGAAAACGAAUCGAAUGGAAUAUAAUCAUCUAUCUAAGGCACACGUGUCAACAUCAGUCCUUGCCUUCUACAGUAGGACAAACAUGUACUGGGAAUUUUCUUCAAGUUUUUUCCUGCUACGAAUUGACCU
rnacentral:lncRNA from 1 species